ACGCACGCUGGCGGCAUGCCUCACCCAUGCAAGUCGCACGAGACCUUCGGGUCUAGUGGCGCACGGGUGCGUAACGCGUGGGAACCUGCCCUUAGGUUCGGAAUAACUCCCCGAAAGGGGUGCUAAUACCGGAUAAUGUCUUCGGACCAAAGAUUUAUCGCCUUUGGAUGGGCCCGCGUUGGAUUAGCUAGUUGGUAGGGUAAAAGCCUACCAAGGCGACGAUCCAUAGCUGGUCUGAGAGGAUGAUCAGCCACACUGGGACUGAGACACGGCCCAGACUCCUACGGGAGGCAGCAGUGGGGAAUAUUGGACAAUGGGCGAAAGCCUGAUCCAGCAAUGCCGCGUGAGUGAUGAAGGCCUUAGGGUUGUAAAGCUCUUUUACCCGGGAUGAUAAUGACAGUACCGGGAGAAUAAGCUCCGGCUAACUCCGUG
rnacentral:rRNA from 1 species